GACGAACGCUGGCGGCGUGCUUAAUACAUGCAAGUCGAACGGUGAAGCGCCUUCCUUUCUGGUGGGUGUGGAUGAGUGGCGAACGGGUGAGUAACACGUGAGUAACCUGACCCCUCUUUCUGGACAACCGCAUGCAAGAGUGGAUAACACGGGAUAUUUUGGGUCUGUUGCAUGAUGGGUCAGGGACAGUUUUUGUUUCGGUGGGGGAUGGGUCCGCGGCCUAUCAGCUUGUUGGUGGGGUGAUGGCCUACCAAGGCGGUGAUGGGUAGCCGGCCUGAGAGGGUCGACGGCCACACAGGGGCGGAAACACGGCCCAGACUACGACAGGAAGCAGCAGUGGAGAUUAUGGCACGGUCGGCGCAAUCCUGGUGCAGCGACGCCGCAGGAGUGAUGGUGUCCUUCGGGUUGAAAACCGCUAUCACCAGUGAAGCAAGCCUUCCUUGUUUGUGCGUGGGUUGACGGUAGCUGAAUAGAAAGCGCCGGCUAACUACGUG
rnacentral:rRNA from 1 species